rnacentral:rRNA from 1 species
CUACCUACGGGACGCCGCAGUCGGGCCUCUUGCGCCCUUGCUGAAACUCUGACGCAGUGACGCCGCGUAUAGGAAGAAGGUUUUCGGAUUGUAAACUAUUGUCGUUAGGGAAGAUAAAAGACAGUACCUAAGGAGGAAGCUCCGGCUAACUACGUGCCAGCAGCCGCGGUAAUACGUAGGGAGCAAGCGUUAUCCGGAUUUAUUGGGUGUAAAGGGUGCGUAGACGGGAAAUUAAGUUAGUUGUGAAAUCCCUCGGCUCAACUGAGGAACUGCAACUAAAACUGAUUUUCUUGAGUGCAGGAGAG